CAUAAGUUAUCGUGGUAUGAAUCAUGGAGAUCAUGCUAUACAUUGUGACAAAGCCCACCCUAACACCUGCAAGAAGCAAGUAGCAAAUCCUUACAGGAGAGGAUGCGGAACAAUCGAACGUUGCCGUCGUGAUACAGGUAGA
rnacentral:sRNA from 1 species